UACGGAGGGGGCUAGCGUUGUUCGGAAUUACUGGGCGUAAAGCGCGCGUAGGCGGACCUGCAAGUCGGGGGUGAAAGCCCGCGGCUCAACCUCGGAACUGCCUUCGAUACUGCUGGUCUCGAGUCCGGGAGAGGUGAGUGGAAUUCCUAGUGUAGAGGUGAAAUUCGUAGAUAUUAGGAAGAACACCAGUGGCGAAGGCGGCUCACUGGCCCGGUACUGACGCUGAGGUGCGAAAGCGUGGGGAGCAAACAGG
rnacentral:rRNA from 1 species